rnacentral:rRNA from 1 species
GGCGGGGGGGGGGGGCCCUACCCAUGCAAGUCGAGCGGCAGCACAGAAGAGCUUGCUCUUUGGGUGGCGAGUGGCGGACGGGUGAGUAAUGUCUGGGAAACUGCCCGAUGGAGGGGGAUAACUACUGGAAACGGUAGCUAAUACCGCAUAACGUCGCAAGACCAAAGUGGGGGACCUUCGGGCCUCACACCAUCGGAUGUGCCCAGAUGGGAUUAGCUAGUAGGUGGGGUAAUGGCUCACCUAGGCGACGAUCCCUAGCUGGUCUGAGAGGAUGACCAGCCACACUGGAACUGAGACACGGUCCAGACUCCUACGGGAGGCAGCAGUGGGGAAUAUUGCACAAUGGGCGCAAGCCUGAUGCAGCCAUGCCGCGUGUAUGAAGAAGGCCUUCGGGUUGUAAAGUACUUUCAGCGGGGAGGAAGGGCGGUGAGGUUAAUAACCUUGCCGAUUGACGUUACCCGCAGAAGAAGCACCGGCUAACUCCGUGCCAGCAGCCGCGGUAAUACGGAGGGUGCAAGCGUUAAUCGGAAUUACUGGGCGUAAAGCGCACGCAGGCGGUCUGUUAAGUCAGAUGUGAAAUCCCCGGGCUUAACCUGGGAACUGCAUUUGAAACUGGCAGGCUUGAGUCUCGUAGAGGGGGGUAGAAUUCCAGGUGUAGCGGUGAAAUGCGUAGAGAUCUGGAGGAAUACCGGUGGCGAAGGCGGCCCCCUGGACGAAGACUGACGCUCAGGUGCGAAAGCGUGGGGAGCAAACAGGAUUAGAUACCCUGGUAGUCCACGCCGUAAACGAUGUCGACUUGGAGGUUGUGCCCUUGAGGCGUGGCUUCCGGAGCUAACGCGUUAAGUCGACCGCCUGGGGAGUACGGCCGCAAGGUUAAAACUCAAAUGAAUUGACGGGGGCCCGCACAAGCGGUGGAGCAUGUGGUUUAAUUCGAUGCAACGCGAAGAACCUUACCUGGCCUUGACAUCCAGAGAACUUAGCAGAGAUGCUUUGGUGCCUUCGGGAACUCUGAGACAGGUGCUGCAUUGGCCUGUCGUCAGCUCGUGUUGUGAAAUGUUGGGUUAAGUCCCGCAACGAGCGCAACCCUUAUCCUUUGUUGCCAGCGGUUCGGCCGGGAACUCAAAGGAGACUGCCGGUGAUAAACCGGAGGAAGGUGGGGAUGACGUCAAGUCAUCAUGGCCCUUACGGCCAGGGCUACACACGUGCUACAAUGGCGCAUACAAAGAGAAGCGACCUCGCGAGAGCAAGCGGACCUCAUAAAGUGCGUCGUAGUCCGGAUUGGAGUCUGCAACUCGACUCCAUGAAGUCGGAAUCGCUAGUAAUCGUAGAUCAGAAUGCUACGGUGAAUACGUUCCCGGGCCUUGUACACACCGCCCGUCACACCAUGGGAGUGGGUUGCAAAAGAAGUAGGUAGCUUAACCUUCGGGAGGGCGCUUAC